UACGUAGGGUGCGAGCGUUGUCCGGAAUUAUUGGGCUUACAGAGCUCGUAGGCGGUUUGUCGCGUCUGCCGUGAAAGUCCGGGGCUCAACUCCGGAUCUGCGGUGGGUACGGGCAGACUAGAGUGAUGUAGGGGAGACUGGAAUUCCUGGUGUAGCGGUGAAAUGCGCAGAUAUCAGGAGGAACACCGAUGGCGAAGGCAGGUCUCUGGGCAUUAACUGACGCUGAGGAGCGAAAGCAUGGGGAGCGAACAGG
rnacentral:rRNA from 1 species